CCCACCAGCGUCAAAAGCAAUUUUGAUGGCUUGGUAAACCUCGCGGGAUGAAAUGCCAUGUAGGCUGGCGCUUGAAGACGGCUCGUCUGAGCCAGCGGGUAGGCAGAUAGAGCAGUUGGGUGACCAAUUGCCCAGAUCAAUGGCAAGGGCGCGCCGCAAGGCGCGAACAGAAUCCGGCUUACAGGACGAUAUGCUUU
rnacentral:RNase_P_RNA from 1 species